GACAGAGGCCUCGAGCGUUAGGCGGAAUCACUGGGCUUAAAGCGUGUGUAGGCGGGUCCGUAAGUGUCUUGUGAAAUCCCACGGCUCAACCGUGGAACUGCUGGGCAUACUGCGGGUCUUGGGCCAACUAGGGGCAGCCGGAACAAGCGGUGGAGCGGUGAAAUGCGCAGAUAUCAGGAGGAACACCGGUGGCGAAGGCGGGUCUCUGGGCCGAAACUGACGCUGAGGAGCGAAAGCGUGGGGAGCGAACAGG
rnacentral:rRNA from 1 species